rnacentral:rRNA from 1 species
UACGUAGGGGGCGAGCGUUAUCCGGAUUUACUGGGUGUAAAGGGAGCGCAGACGGGGUCGCAAGUCAGAUGUGGAAGCCCCGGGCACAACCCGGGGAGCGCAUUUGAAACUGCGGUCCUAGAGUGCUGGAGGGGCAGGCGGAAUUCCUGGUGUAGCGGUGAAAUGCGUAGAUAUCAGGAAGAACACCGGCGGCGAAGGCGGCCUGCUGGACAGCAACUGACGUUGAGGCUCGAAAGCGUGGGGAGCAAAC